CAAUUACCAUGUGUUCUAGUCACAUGGUUUUCUUCUUAAAUUCUUGGCUCAGCACAUCAAUUUAAAAGAAUGGUGCCCUGAUGGAUGGAGAGUUUGGAUCUCAGCAAGGAUUCUCUGUCUACCAAAUGUGAUGAAAUCGAGGAUGAGCUCUUAGGAUUGGGAGGAGGACUUCGCCUUCAGGACCCAAACACCUCUCACGAGACCCCGGCCCC